rnacentral:tRNA from 1 species
GCUCUUAUGGUGUAAUGGUUAGCACUCUGGACUUUGAAUCCAGCGAUCCGGGGUCCAAAUCCCGGUAGGAGCU